UCUCGAUUGGUCUAGUGGUAAGGAUACCUGCUUGUCAUUGCCAACUCCCUCAGAAUUGGGAUAACGGAUCGCAGGUGGCCGGGGUUCGAUUCCCCGAUCGAGAG